CGCAGGGGCGGCAGCUACACAUGCAGUCGAGCGAGAACUUCGGUUCUAGCGGCGGACGGGUUAGUAACGCGUGGGAACGUGCCCUUCACUACGGAAUAGUCCCGGGAAACUGGGUUUAAUACCGUAUACGCCCUUCGGGGGAAAGAAUUUCGGUGAAGGAUCGGCCCGCGUUAGAUUAGAUAGUUGGUGGGGUAACGGCCUACCAAGUCUACGAUCUAUAGCUGGUUUUAGAGGAUGAUCAGCAACACUGGGACUGAGACACGGCCCAGACUCCUACGGGAGGCAGCAGUGGGGAAUCUUAGACAAUGGGCGCAAGCCUGAUCUAGCCAUGCCGCGUGAGUGAUGAAGGCCUUAGGGUCGUAAAGCUCUUUCGCCAGGGAUGAUAAUGACAGUACCUGGUAAAGAAACCCCGGCUAACUCCGUGCCAGCAGCCGCGGUAAUACGGAGGGGGUUAGCGUUGUUCGGAAUUACUGGGCGUAAAGCGCGCGUAGGCGGAUUGGAAAGUUGGGGGUGAAAUCCCAGGGCUCAACCCUGGAACUGCCUCCAAAACUAUCAGUCUAGAGUUCGAGAGAGGUGAGUGGAACUCCGAGUGUAGAGGUGAAAUUCGUAGAUAUUCGGAAGAACACCAGUGGCGAAGGCGGCUCACUGGCUCGAUACUGACGCUGAGGUGCGAAAGUGUGGGGAGCAAACAGGAUUAGAUACCCUGGUAG
rnacentral:rRNA from 1 species